rnacentral:rRNA from 1 species
AUUGAACGCUGGCGGCAUGCCUUACACAUGCAAGUCGAACGGCAGCGGGGGAGAAGCUUGCUUUUCCUGCCGGCGAGUGGCGAACGGGUGAGUAAUACAUCGGAACGUGCCCUGUAGUGGGGGGUAACUAGUCGAAAGAUUAGCUAAUACCGCAUACGACCUGAGGGUGAAAGUGGGGGACCGCAAGGCCUCAUGCUAUAGGAGCGGCCGAUGUCUGAUUAGCUAGUUGGUGGGGUAAAGGCCUACCAAGGCGACGAUCAGUAGCUGGUCUGAGAGGACGAUCAGCCACAUUGGGACUGAGACACGGCCCAGACUCCUACGGGAGGCAGCAGUGGGGAAUUUUGGACAAUGGGCGAAAGCCUGAUCCAGCAAUGCCGCGUGUGUGAAGAAGGCCUUCGGGUUGUAAAGCACUUUUGUCCGGAAAGAAAUGGCUCUGGUUAAUACCUGGGGUCGAUGACGGUACCGGAAGAAUAAGGACCGGCUAACUACGUGCCAGCCGCCGCAGUAA